rnacentral:rRNA from 1 species
GACGAACGCUGGCGGCGUGCUUAACACAUGCAAGUCGAACGGAAAGGCCCUGCUUUUGUGGGGUGCUCGAGUGGCGAACGGGUGAGUAACACGUGAGUAACCUGCCCUUGACUUUGGGAUAACUUCAGGAAACUGGGGCUAAUACCGGAUAGGAGCUCCUGCUGCAUGGUGGGGGUUGGAAAGUUUCGGCGGUUGGGGAUGGACUCGCGGCUUAUCAGCUUGUUGGUGGGGUAGUGGCUUACCAAGGCUUUGACGGGUAGCCGACCUGAGAGGGUGACCGGCCACAUUGGGACUGAGAUACGGCCCAGACUCCUACGGGAGGCAGCAGUGGGGAAUAUUGCACAAUGGGCGGAAGCCUGAUGCAGCAACGCCGCGUGCGGGAUGACGGCCUUCGGGUUGUAAACCGCUUUCGCCUGUGACGAAGCGUGAGUGACGGUAAUGGGUAAAGAAGCACCGGCUAACUACGUGCCAGCAGCCGCGGUGAUACGUAGGGUGCGAGCGUUGUCCGGAUUUAUUGGGCGUAAAGGGCUCGUAGGUGGUUGAUCGCGUCGGAAGUGUAAUCUUGGGGCUUAACCCUGAGCGUGCUUUCGAUACGGGUUGACUUGAGGAAGGUAGGGGAGAAUGGAAUCCCUGGUGGAGCGGUGGAAUGCGCAGAUAUCAGGAGGAACACCAGUGGCGAAGGCGGUUCUCUGGGCCUUUCCUGACGCUGAGGAGCGAAAGCGUGGGGAGCGAACAGGCUUAGAUACCCUGGUAGUCCACGCUGUAAACGGUGGGUACUAGGUGUGGGGUCCAUUCCACGGGUUCCGUGCCGUAGCUAACGCUUUAAGUACCCCGCCUGGGGAGUACGGCCGCAAGGCUAAAACUCAAAGGAAUUGACGGGGCCCCGCACAAGCGGCGGAGCAUGCGGAUUAAUUCGAUGCAACGCGUAGAACCUUACCUGGGUUUGACAUGGAUCGGGGGUGCUCAGAGAUGGGUGUGCCUCUUUUGGGGUCGGUUCACAGGUGGUGCAUGGCUGUCGUCAGCUCGUGUCGUGAGAUGUUGGGUUAAGUCCCGCAACGAGCGCAACCCUUGUUCACUGUUGCCAGCACGUUAUGGUGGGGACUCAGUGGAGACCGCCGGGGUCAACUCGGAGGAAGGUGGGGAUGACGUCAAGUCAUCAUGCCCCUUAUGUCCAGGGCUUCACGCAUGCUACAAUGGCUGGUACAGAGAGUGGCGAGCCUGUGAGGGUGAGCGAAUCUCGGAAAGCCGGCCUCAGUUCGGAUUGGGGUCUGCAACUCGACCUCAUGAAGUCGGAGUCGCUAGUAAUCGCAGAUCAGCAACGCUGCGGUGAAUACGUUCCCGGGGCU